rnacentral:rRNA from 1 species
AGAGUUUGAUCCUGGCUCAGAGUGAACGCUGGCGGUAGGCCUAACACAUGCAAGUCGAACGGCAGCACAGGAGAGCUCGCUCUCUGGGUGGCGAGUGGCGGACGGGUGAGGAAUACAUCGGAAUCUACUCUGUCGUGGGGGAUAACGUAGGGAAACUUACGCUAAUACCGCAUACGACCUACGGGUGAAAGCAGGGGACCUUCGGGCCUUGCGCGAUUGAAUGAGCCGAUGUCGGAUUAGCUAGUUGGCGGGGUAAGGCCCACCAAGGCGACGAUCCGUAGCUGGUCUGAGAGGAUGAUCAGCCACACUGGAACUGAGACACGGUCCAGACUCCUACGGGAGGCAGCAGUGGGGAAUAUUGGACAAUGGGCGCAAGCCUGAUCCAGCCAUACCGCGUAGGUGAAGAAGGCCUUCGGGUUGUAAAGCCCUUUUGUUGGGAAAGAAAUCCAGCUGGCUAAUACCCGGUUGGGAUGACGGUACCCAAAGAAUAAGC